rnacentral:rRNA from 1 species
GACGGAGGGGGCUAGCGUUUUUCGGAAUUACUGGGCGUAAAGAGCGCGUAGGCGGAUUAGUAAGUUGGGAGUGAAAGCCCGGGGCUUAACCUCGGAACUGCUUUCAAAACUGCUAGUCUUGAGUGAAGUAGGGGAUGAUGGAAUUCCUAGUGUAGAGGUGAAAUUCUUAGAUAUUAGGAGGAACACCGGUGGCGAAGGCGGUCAUCUGGACUUCAACUGACGCUGAGGCGCGAAAGCGUGGGGAGCAAACAGG